GCAGUUGUAGCUUAAUGGUAAAGCACCUGCCUAACAUGCACAAGGUCCUAGGUUUGAUUCCUAGCACCAGAA
rfam:Ictidomys tridecemlineatus contig097466, whole genome shotgun sequence.